rnacentral:lncRNA from 1 species
GUUCAAUGGUCACGGUUCAUAUGGUUCACACGUUUCAUAUAGUUCAUAUGGUUCGCACAGUUCAUAUGGUUCACACGGUUCAUAUGGUUCACACGGUUCAUAUGGUUCACACGGUUCAUAUGGUUCACACGGUUCAUAUGGUUCAUACGGUUUAUAUGCUUCACACGGUUCAUAUGGUUCAAAGAGUUCAUAUGGUUCAAACGGUUCAUAUGGUUCACACGGUUCAUACGGUUUAUAUGGUUCACACGAUUCAUAUGGUUCACACGGUUCAUAUGGUUCAAAUGGUUCAUAUGGUUCAUACGGUUUAUAUGGUUCACAUGGUUCAUAUGGUUCAUACGGUUUAUAUGGUUCACACGGUUCAUAUGGUUCACACGGUUCAUAUGGUUCACACGGUUCAUAUGGUUCACACAGUUCAUAUGGUUCACACGGUUUAUAUGGUUCACACGGUUCAUAUGGUUCACACGGUUCAUAUGGUUCACACGGUUCAUAUGGUUCACCGGUUCAUAUGGUUCAAACGGUUCAUAUGGUUCACACGGUUCAUACGGUUUAUAUGGUUCACACGGUUCAUAUGGGUCACAUGGUUCAUACAGUUCACACAGUUCAUACGGUUCACACGGUUCAUAUGGUUCACACUGUUCAUAUGGUUCACACGGUUCAUAUGGUUCAAAUGGUUCAUAUGGUUCACACAGUUCAUAUGGUUCGCACAGUUCAUACGGUUUAUAUGGUUCACACGGUUCAUAUGGUUCAUACGGUUUAUAUGGUUCAUAUGGUUCACACGGUUCAUAUGGUUCACACGGUUCAUACGGUUUAUAUGGUUCACACGGUUCAUAUGGUUCACACGGUUCAUAUGGUUCACACGGUUCAUAUGGUUCACACGCUUCAUAUGGUUCAUACGGUUCAUAUGGUUCACACAGUUCAUAUGGUUCACACGUUUCAUAUAGUUCAUAUGGUUCGCACAGUUCAUAUGGUUCAAACGGUUCAUAUGGUUUACAUCUGAUGAACAAUAGACAAUAAUAGCAUCAACAGCAGCUGGAGGAAAACAUCAUUGCAAUGAAAUACCACUACCUCUACCCAAGCCUUUGGCUAUGUCUCUUAUAAUGGACCUUCCUUCAUUGUAACUGAAAACGGAUUGGUUUCUGUCCAAAGCAUAGACACCAGAGAUGGUCUAUAAUUGUUGUAACUGGGUUUUUAGACUCCUUAUACAGGAAUUCUACCCUAUUCUAU